rnacentral:rRNA from 1 species
UACGAGUGGUGCAAGCGUUAUUCGGAAUUAUUGGGCGUAAAGGGUGCGUAGGCGGCAUAUUAAGUCAAUCGUUAAAUUCCUCGGCCUAACCGAGGGCAUGCGGUAGAAACUGAUGUGCUAGAGGAUGGAAGAGAGAAGUGGAAUUCUCGGAGUAGCGGUAAAAUGCGUAGAUCUCGAGAGGAACACCGAUGGCGAAGGCAGCUUCUUGGUCCAUAUCUGACGCUGAGGCACGAAAGCGUGGGGAGCAAACAGG